UAGAAGACAAUGAAGAGAUGAGUAGACUUUGUGUCAUACACAGAGAGUUUGCGGCUGGUGUAAGCAAAUGAUGGCUAAAGUUGAAGAUGGUCUCGGAGUUUGAAGUGUGCGAGCGCUCGUGAGCCACUACUGGUUGACUGCCAUUAUCUAGUCGUGAUCGUGUCUUAAUUUUAGAUAUGGUCAAUGAGCCGGCUAUAGUCGGAAAUUAAGGUGGUACCGCGGAUGUUCGCCCUUAGG
rnacentral:ncRNA from 1 species